CAAAUGCUUAUCAUCAUUUACUAAUCCAUAUGCAUAAUUUAAACAUUUUCAUAUUCAUUAGAAGCAUACAGAAAAGAUACAUGGCACACAAGAUAUGUACUUUUCGACGUAGGAGCUCAAUUCUUGUAUACAGACACACUUCCUUUAGCUUGCAUUGGACCUCGUACUUUCCACUAAUGUAAAUGCCACAUCAAAAGUGAAAGAGCGACUCCGGAAACCAAUUACAUCCAUGUGCUUGCACUUCAAUGCAGAAACAGAACAAAACAUAAUCCUAAAGUUUUCGGACCAUCAUUAAACACGCAAGCAUAACAAACAUUCACAAUCCAGCAAAUGGGUGUUCAUAAUUUCAAGCAGAAACACCAAAAGUCAAAGAAAAUAAUGAAUUAAAUUAUGAAAAAUUUUGUACUCAAGUAUCUCCCGUGAACUUGAACCAAGUCUCAGCACAUUGCUUAUAAGCAGCACCCAAAUCCCCCUUGCAAGAACACCCCAAGUCAAUCGGGACCCCAGAGGCAGGGUCGGUCCCACCACCUCCCUCCAAACCCAAGUGGCAAAUCCUGCAAUUUCUCUCAACUUUACUCAAAUGCACCACCUUCUUCACCUUCGAAACCCCACUCUCUCCACUGAACAGCAUUGGAUGUCGUCAGAGUCAUCCGAGUCCGACGCACCGCUGCCUCCGGUGGCCAAACGGCGGUGGUGGGUUGUCUCGGGAGCUGACAUUCGUGAAACCCAGAAAGAGAAAUGGCGUGAAAUGGUAAAGUGUUAAAGUUGCGGCAUUCGGAGAUCAAACAUGGUGGGGUUAUAGAGCAGGUGGAGAUGUUUUUUCUCUAUCCUCAAUCAAAAUAUCAAUCUGCAGGCAUAUUUGAAAAAGCAAUAUUUCCAUCAAAGUGCAUUUCAUGGUUUCCAAGUUUAAAAGAUGUACGUUUGGAAUUUAUGAAGUUUGAAGGCGUGCUAUUUGAUCUGAAAACCCAUGGCCAGACAACUCCAAUAUUUCCCCAGUUACGUGAGUUGCGGAUAUUCGAUACUUCGUUUACACACUUGUGGAAAAACAUUCCGUCUGGAUUUCAAGGCUUCCAAAAUUUGAGAUAUUUGCACAUAAGUUAUUGUUCUGGUCUAGAAUAUGUGUUCUCGCAUUUAAUUGCCCGAGAACUUUUGAAUCUUGAAGAGGUAGAGAUAUCAACAUGUCUGGACAUGGAAACUAUAGUCAGAAUCACAAAGGAAAAAGAAGAAAAGGCGACAAAAGACAUGAUUUUGUUUCCGAAACUGAACACAUUUGAACUAGAAGACCUGCCUCGUCUCACAAGUCUUUUUCCAGAGGGAUCUACAUUUGUAUGGUCAUCCACAAAAUAUAUGCUGGAGAAUAACUUGAAGAAGGAUUCAACAAGUCAUGAUUUCAGCACUUCUCCAACAUGUUCAUCAAAUUGGUGCCCUGCUGGAUGUGGAUGCGCACCAUAUUCAAGACCAAACGCCCACCGCCCCAUUGAAAUAUUGCCACGUCCAAUUAACCUGGAGGUAAGCUUUUAAAUCAGGUUCAAUUAACCUCUAUAAGUACAACUUUUAAUUAGUAUUGUAUCAUCUUGUUGAUCGUGUAAUUUUCUAGGUUACACCAACUAAUCUUGAGGACUCAAAUGAUGAUGAUAAUCUCGAAAAUCUUACUGUAAAUGACUGUAAUUCGAUGGAAGUGAUUUUCCAACUCAAGGGACCGAAGCAGGAAGAAAGUAGUCACUCCAUUGAAGCAUUCAAUAAAUUGAGUUCCUUGCGGUUAGAUAGAUUGCCAGGUUUAACGCGUGUUUGGGAGAUGGGUAGUUCACAACCGAUGUUGACAGGAAGCAGCUUCGGAAACUUGAAAUCGCUGGAGGUUGGUUUUUGCAACCAGUUGAAAUACUUGUUUUCAUCGUCCAUAGUCAAACUUCUCGUGAGUAUAGAGGACAUAGAAGUUCAUAACUGUGAGAAGAUGGAAGAAAUCGUUGCCGCAGAAGAAGAAACUGAUGAAACAAUUACAUUACCUAAAGUGAAGUCCAUCAAGCUUGAAAGUCUGCCAAAACUCAAGUAUUUUUGUGGUGAAGCUUAUACUUUGAAGUUGCCGUCUUUGGAGUUAUUGGAGGUUAUUAAUGUGCAAGACUUAAGGCCAUUUGAUUCUAAGCUUGUUGACACGCAUAAUCCCCGAUUGCAAGUAAAACCCACAUUUCGACAGGAAUGGACAAGGUAUGCUUUAGAUUAAUGUUUCUAAUUUGCAUUCACUUUUGUGUCCACCUGAAAGACCGCAUCAUCAAUAUACAACCACUGAACCAACAAAGAUGACGAAAUCGACGGCAAGGAUGACGAUGACAAAAUCGAUGGCAAGGAUGAAGAUGACGAAACCAACAGGGAGGACGAACACAAUUGAUUGAUCAAGCACAAAGGUUAGAAUGCUUCCAUCUCCAACUUCUUCUAGGUUUAGUAAAAACUGAUGAAAAUUAUCUAUAUAGUACUCACAAAAAUAUUCUACCAUGUUUUAUAUAAUAUAUACAUACAUGUAUAGCACUUAAAAAAAUUGAACAGUUUGGAUCUAAAACCACAAUCUGCUACCUGUUUCAUUUUUUCGAGGUACCUAAUAGCAAUUAAGGUGAGAGGAAGAAGCAUUUCAGAUUACCAACUGCCUCAAGAGAAACCUUUAUCAGAAACACAUAUACAAUAAACAUAACCGUAGUGCUAAGUGGCCUAAAAAUUAAUUUAUCCUUAAACCGCUAUUUUUGGAAACACAUAUACAAUAAGCACAAGCGUUUCAACUUAUUCCAAUUUCAGUGAUUUCUAAUAUUCUCCAAUGCAUGCAGGAAAAGAGUUUAAAGAACGUUGUGGCUCCAGCAAUUCGUUUACCAUAUCAUAUGUACAAACCAAUAAAAGGACAUUUGUUGCACCAGAAUUUCAUUCCAAAAAUACUAUUUAUGUUGCUUAUUUUAUGUACCAUAAAUUUCGAUUGCGAUUAUUACUGUUUGUUUCUAAAUUCGCAUCAUUAGUGUUUGCUUAUUUGUGCUCGAGGUUGAUUAUACACGUGUAAGCUGAAUCACAUGUUUGUAGAAUGGACAAGCUGAAUAAAAUCUGUUUGCCCCCUAAAUGUAAUGGAAAUCAUAUGUAUCUAGGCAUGCUUAAUAUUUGAUAAAGAAAAACAUUUCUCAAAUAAAUGUCCACUCACACCUCCGGCAAGCUCUCCCUUGAGGAGCCUUGUCUACCAAAUAGGUAAACAUCUACUGGACAGCAAACUGCUGAAUACAACUAGAGUAAACAAGGAAUCAGGCUAUGCAAUUGCCAUCAUCAUAACAUGAUUUUGGCCCCCAUUUUCUAAUUUCCUACCACAUUUUCACAAUCUUUCCAUGAAUUUUAUAAUUCCUAUGCAACAGAGUUCGUUCAUCGCCUAUUCACAACAAUACAAGGUUCUACAGAGUUCAAUCCCACACCAUGUUAUAGACAUGCUUCAACUAUCAACCGGGAACGUAAUCGUUAGGGGUUUCAACAACUUCACUGAUACAACAAUUACUAUAAGUCUCAUCUCCGACAUUCAUACAGAAAAUCGAAUAAAAUUCGAAAUCAAGAAUCAAUCCCAAAACUGCAAGUUGAAAAUUUGGAAAAAGAACUUACAUUGGAGAACAGCCCACGAGAAGAGUAUCAUUUCUACCUCUUGGGUCGAGCUCCAAUUCCGGCGAUAUUGGCCGAAAACCCCUGGGUCACCGUUUCUUAGAUUUGAAGUUGAGGAAAAUCGCCUACGAAUUUAUAGAAACUAACUUGGGGGAUAGGAUAAGGGACGGCAAGAGCAUUCUGGAUGUGUAGUAUGAGAGCCUUUGGUGACCAGUGGACGACAGAGCUGUUGCGUCGGCACUCGGCAGUCUUCGGCUUGCUGUUAAAUGGGGCUCCUGUUGCAGCGCAACGCAAAAGAGAAGGAGGAGAGAGGAUACGGGAGAAGGAGAGAAAAUGGGUUUCUCCAACCUUUUUCAUUAGUUCUUUUCCACAUUUAUUUAUGGAAUAAACGAUAAUAUUUAUCAUCAAAAGUGUGUUUGGUACGUGAGAUGAGAAGGAACAUGUUUUGAUGAUAAUAAUGGCUAAAACUAAUAUAGUUCAAAU
rnacentral:lncRNA from 1 species